CUAGGUGGAUCCCCCCAACAUGAACAACGUUUGGAUCCGAGCUAGGUGGAUCCCCCCAACAUGAACAACGUUUGGAUCUGAGCUAGAUGGAACCCCUCAACAUGAACAACGUUUGAAUCCGAGCUAGGUGGCUCCCCCAACAUGAACAACGUGUGGAUCCGAGCUAGAUGGAUCCCCUCAACAUGAACAACGUUUGAAUCCGAGCAAGGUGGCUCCCCCAACAUGAACAACGUGUGGAUCCGAGCUAGGUGGAUCCAAUUGCGACGAUGGACGCCAACUGCAUAUCAAUUUGUUAUAAUGUUGCAGUUCUUGUUUUCUUUAUAUUCUAUCUUUUGGGUAUACAAUCAAUUUGAGGAUUAACACUACAAGUAAAUUAUAGCUGGACACGGACUUUGCAAUAAAAAUUCAUCAUAUUAAUUUUUUAAAGUGUUGUAACUGUUAAAAUACAUUAAAAUAUCUUGUGUAAUUUCAAUGCCCGAAACUGAAAUUUACAACACAAUACAAUGGUCGCGAUGCCAAAAAUUUUGGGGAUGAAAGUUUAUCGGAAUGAAAUUUACUUAUCAUAUAAAUGAAUCACAUCAUAUUAUUUUCUUCAGUCAGUUGUAACUCAUGUUUACGAAACUUAAUCUUCAUCAAAAUAGAACAAUCAAUUAUACAUCAAUAUGGAACAACUUAAGUUUCAGUUUGUUUUGAUUUCAGUCUACUUGUUAAAAAAGUCAGCAUUUAAUUAAAAAUAAUUGAAGGAAAGUCAGCAUUUAAUUUAAAAGAAACAAGAAGGAAUAUAAAAGAAUGAUGUCAAAUUAUUUUGUUUGCUCAUAACACCGCAAUUAAACAACAAAAGUCUAUAACAAAAAAAACACGUUUUAAAAAAAUAAAAAGGAAAUUCAUUAUUAGUCACAACCAGUUUAUUAGUAGCCACUUUUUUUUAUUUAAGUAACUCAUACAUUGAGAAUGAAUACCUAUAGACUUUGUCUUAAUUUAAAUGUUGUUGUGGAAAGCUGUAGAACACGAAUAUUUAAUGAACGCACACUUAAAGUUCAUUUUAGUAUCCUAAAUCGUUUUGAUAUGGUAAAGAACAAGGGAAUCUGUGAAGAGAGCUGUUCACAAGUUUAGAGUGUAUCUUUUAACUCAUGCUUUUCGUAUGUGUAAGUUAAAAAAAUUGAUAAAAUAUUUAAGUACGUGAUAACAAUAAUUGGAAUUGAAAGUUUUUUUUCACUUUUACACACAA